AAAGCGGUUUUUUCCCCCGCACGGGUUAGGAGGCCCAGGUUUUCAAAUUUGGGCUAAGGGUGGUGGGGUUCUCGCCUCCGUGAAAAUCCAUCGUUACCGAGAUCCGCCAGUUUCGACGGUCUGAUCGUUAGGGAGAUGGAUUCCCGUGUACGGUGAUGGUAGAUUCGGGAUGACACAUGNNNCGAGUCAGUCUUGGGCGAUAUGACGCUGAGAGCGAAGCGUGGGAGCGACAGGAUUAGAUACCUCGUAGUCCACGCAGUGAACGUGGAUGCUGAUGUGGGGCCGUUCCACGGUUCCGUGUCGGAGCUAACGCGUUAAGCAUCCUGCCUGGGGAGUACGGCCGCAAGGCUAAAACUCAAAGAAAUGACGGGGGUCCCGCACAAGCGGCGGAGCAUGCGGAUUAAUUCGAUGCAACGUGAAGAACCUUACCUGGGCUUGACAUGUUCCCGACGGUCGUAGAGAUACGGCUUCCCUUCGGGGCGGGUUCACAGGUGGUGCAUGGUCGUCGUCAGCUCGUGUCGUGAGAUGUUGGGUUAAGUCCUGCAACGAGCGCAACCCUCGCCCCGUGUUGCCAGCGGAUUAUGCCGGGAACUCACGGGGGACCGCCGGGGUUAACUCGGAGGAAGGUGGGGAUGACGUCAGAUCAUCAUGCCCCUUACGUCCAGGGCUUCACGCAUGCUACAAUGGCCGGUACAACGGGAUGCGACGCGGCGACGCGGAGCGGAUCCCUGAAAACCGGUCUCAGUUCGGAUCGCAGUCUGCAACUCGACUGCGUGAAGGCGGAGUCGCUAGUAAUCGCGAAUCAGCAACGUCGCGGUGAAUGCGUUCCCGGGCCUUGUACACACCGCCCGUCAAGUCAUGAAAGUGGGCAGCACCCGAAGCCGGUGGCCUAACCCCUUGUGGGAUGGAGCCGUCUAAGGUGAGGCUCGUGAUUGGGACUAAGUCGUAACAAGGUAGCCGUACCGGAAGGUGCGGCUG
rnacentral:rRNA from 1 species